GAGAUUGGGGAUAUCGAGCCACGCCUACGUCUACACAUCACAGACUGAUGAACAGGAUUUCAUUCACAAGCUGGUGGUGCAUGACAUCCGUGUCUCAUGGACAAGGUUCAACAGAGAUGCGGUGCUGGGACUCUGACACCUACAACAAGUCACAGUUGAGCUGGAGAACAGCCAAGUCAUGCUGAAAGGCUGCAAAGCGUCGGGUUAUGUCAUCGUCUGCACGUCUAGUGCCCAGAUCAUGCGGUGUUCCCACUUACCAGCCUGGAGGGAAGGUCGCCUGACUAAGAAGACCAGCUGGGUGGGCAAGCUGGAUGGACUGCAGGCCAGGCCCAUGUCCCUGAAAGUGAUGACGAUAAUUCCAGCUCCUGGGGUUCUGACACCAACAUCCCCUCUAGAAGGACCAAGACCGCGUGGUCAGCGACGCUGAGAUGUGACACAUGACGCUCACCAGACCGGCUAAGGUUGGUGCUUAUUGGGUCAGUCACUACCGAACACCAUUACCACACUGCAAAAACAGACAGACAAGCAAGACCCUUGGAGGAAUUCAAGCUGACUUUGGGGUACAAGUUUGG